rnacentral:rRNA from 1 species
UACGGAGGGUGCAAGCGUUAUUCGGAUUUAUUGGGCGUAAAGGGCGCGUAGGCGGUCUUGUAAGUCAGGUGUGAAAUCCCGGGGCUCAACCCCGGAAGUGCAUUUGAUACUGCAAGACUUGAGUAUGGGAGGGGGAAGUGGAAUUCCUGGUGUAGAGGUGAAAUUCGUAGAUAUCAGGAGGAACACCAGUGGCGAAGGCGACUUCCUGGACCAAUACUGACGCUGAGGCGCGAAGGCGUGGGGAGCAAACAGG